AUUUACUCUCGCUCAGUUCUCGUAGCCAGGUCGGCGGAACAACUGUCAUGGUUCCGUGUGUUGUACGUGCAUAGUGUUCGGCUAAAGUCCAUCCGUCCGGGUUUGCGUAAUUUCGUGGCAAAGUGAAAGUCCUUCGCUUUUGUGUGUUGUGCCGUGCGUGUAGUUUGUUACUGUGAAUCCAUCCGCACCUCAAUGUGUCCGUACAACGUCACCAAUCGUGAAGAAAAUUGGCGACAAUAGAAAUGCAUCAUCCAUUUUGGCUGAUGGUUCGGUUACCAUGCUUUGCGGUUGAAACAUGUGCUUUGUGAAGAAAACCUAAGUGUGUACUUGUGUUCGUGUGUGUGUUUGUGAGUUUGUGUAUUACUUUGUGUGAAUGUUCGGAAAAGCUGUACCGGCUUUCAAAGCAAAUUUCCUCUACUGCCCCCAAAACGUGUUCGGUGUAGAGUGUGCGCGCGGCGGCGUGUGUGUUAACACAGUUUAACCCGACGGGGUGCUGUUCGUGGCACGGUCGACAGGCGGGAGGAAGGAAGAGAAGGAGGGCACACCAGACACGCUAGCGACAAUUCCUGGCAGCCCAGUCCAGGCAGGCCGCGCAAAAUGGGGCACCACCAGAAGAUGAAGGUUACUAGCGCGUGGCUUCUGACAUUGCUCGUCCUUGUGCCGCCGUCGCUCGGUGCCGGUGCCACCGACAAGCUGGAAAAGCUGGCGAUGCAAGAAGCGAAAGAGCAUGUGCUAAAGAACAACAUGGUGCUGGAGCCGACACUUACCACAACCACCACCAUCACUACGGCAGGCAGGUUGCCGUCCGGCAACGGUACCACCGGUGGGGCCACCGGGGGUGCGGCCAAAUCGACGACAGGACUCCCGAGCGAAUUUAAUAUGACUCUCCAGUGCGCUGAACGUCAAUUUCGCUGUGGUAGUGGCCAAUGCAUCCAUAUAAGUUUCGUGUGCGACGGCGAAGAUGAUUGUAACGACGGUAGUGAUGAGGAUGUACACGUGUGCAAAAUUACAGAGAGCUCCUGUCCCGGUGACAAAUUCCGCUGCAAGAACGGUAGGUGUAUCCUGAAGCGUUGGCAGUGUGACGGUGAGCGAGACUGUGCCGACGGAUCGGACGAGGACGCCCAGCAAUGCCAGAGCAAAGUGUGCUCGUCGGAGGAAUUUACGUGUCGCAGUGGAACCGGCAACUGCAUCCCGCUGGGCUGGAUGUGCGACCAGAACCGGGACUGUGCCGAUGGGUCCGAUGAGAUGUCCUGCAAUGAAACCUGCCGAUCGGAUGAGUUCACCUGUGGCAACGGGCGCUGCAUCCAGAAGCGCUGGGUGUGCGACCACGAUGACGACUGUGGCGAUAAGACGGACGAGGACAACUGCCCAACCACGACGUGCGAUCCGCUGAAACAGUUCGCCUGUGCGGAGAACUAUUGCAUCACCAGCAAGUGGCGCUGCGAUGGCGAACCCGACUGUCCGGAUGGUUCCGACGAGCGGGGAUGUGCAAAUCCACCACCGCCUACGUUCUCCACCUGUCUGCCGCUGGAAUACCAAUGCAACGAUCGCAUCACCUGCAUCCACCGGAGCUGGAUCUGCGACGGGGAGAAGGAUUGCCCGCGCGGUGACGAUGAAAUGCCACCGAUCUGUCAGAAUGUGACCUGCCGCUCGGACCAGUUCCAGUGCAAGAAGGACAAAACGUGCAUCAACGGCCACUUUGCCUGUAACGGCAAGAACGACUGUUCGGACGGUAGCGACGAGCAGAACUGUGGUGUGAACGUUCGCAGUGAGAAAUGCAACCCGAAGACAGAGUUCGAUUGCGGCGGUGGCAUGUGCAUACCGCUGGCGAAGGUUUGCGACCAAAACCCCGACUGUCCCGAGUUUCAGGACGAGCCGGCCGACAAGUGCGGUAAGAACGAAUGUCUCCAGGGUAACGGUGGCUGCUCGCAGCUUUGCGUGGACACACCAGCCGGCUUCUACUGCGACUGUAAACCGGGCUUUAAGCUGGCCGACAAUCGGACGUGUGUUGAUAUCGAUGAGUGCGAAGAGCCCGGCUCCUGCUCCCAGAGCUGCAUCAACGAGAUCGGUACGUUCAAGUGCGAGUGUAUGGACAACUAUCUGCGCGACCCGCGCGAUCACACCCGGUGCAAGCCGAAGGAGGGUCACGCUUCGCUACUGUUUGCCCGCCGCCACGACAUUCGCAAGAUUUCGCUCGACCACCGUGAGAUGACGUCGAUCGUGAACGACACCAAGUCGGCCACUGCGCUAGACUUUGUGUUUCGUACUGGCAUGAUCUACUGGAGCGAUGUGUCGGAGAAGCGCAUUUACAAGGCACCGAUUGACGAAGGGUCGGACAAGACGGUCGUGGUAAAGGACCAGCUCGUUACCUCGGACGGACUGGCGGUGGAUUGGAUCUACAAUCACAUCUACUUUACCGACAUCAAAAAGUCAACCAUCGAGCUGACGAACUUCGACGGCAACAUGGGCAAGGUGUUGAUUCAGGACGAUUUGGAAAUUCCGCGUGCGAUUGCGCUGGACCCUAUUGACGGUUGGAUGUACUGGACUGAUUGGGGUACCAAUCCAAGAAUUGAGCGUGCUGGUAUGGACGGUACCCACCGGCAAGUGAUUGUCAGCUACGAGGUGAAGUGGCCGAACGGAAUCACGCUGGAUUUGGUGCGAAAGCGUGUGUAUUGGGUCGAUGCGAAGCUGAACGUUAUCUCGUCCUGCAACUACGACGGCUCCAAGCGCUCGGUAAUACUGUACUCGGCCGACUAUCUGCGACAUCCGUUCUCGAUUACCACGUUCGAGGAUUACGUGUACUGGACCGAUUGGGACAAGGAGGCCGUCUUUAAGGCGAACAAAUUCACUGGCAAAGACGUCGAGCCGGUAACGGCAAUGCAUAUGCUGCAACACCCGAUGACGAUUCACGUGUACCACCCGUACCGCCAGCCGGACGGCGUCAACCACUGUCAGGCGGUGAACGGCCACUGUUCGCAUCUGUGCCUGCCGGCGCCCCAAAUUAACGCCAACAGUCCGAAGAUUUCCUGCGCCUGCCCGACCGGCCUGAAGCUGAUGAGCGACAGCUUGAUGUGCGUGGAGGACGAAAAACCCACGGCCGGGCCGGCGGGCGAGGAUGGCACGAGCAGCGGCCGGGUCGAUAGCAACAAUGCGACGAUGCGAAAUGGUACGGACGGUACGAUCAUCCACCCGGGCGUGGUCGAGAAGGACUCCGGCCAGGUGGCCCUCGUUGCCAUCGUCAUCGUUUCGUUGGUGUUGGUCAUCGUCGGAUUGAUUGUGUUCGUACUCUACCGGCACUACACGCAUCGAAACUCGACCACGAUGAACUUUGACAAUCCGGUGUACCGAAAAACGACCGAGGACCAGUUCAGCCUGGAGAAGAACAUACAGAGCCGCAUGUACCCGAGCACCGUCGGCGAAGAGAUAAAUACGUUUCACUAUCGCACAUGAAUCAGUGUGUGCUGUGUUUGUCGGAACAGUAGCUUAGACGUUAAUUAAAAGUAUCCUGAUUAGGACAGCGGAAGGAUGUAAGGGAAGCUGCGGCAAAACAAAAAUUCCAAACAGUAAAAAGAGAGAAAGAAAGAGAGAGGGAGGGAGAGAAGACAAAGAAGUAAAGAAGCGCAACGCGGGCCAAGCGUGGCCUGCCUCCUCCAAAAACGCACCUCUGUACAGUCCACUAUCAAGACCACUAUCAAGACCACACACUAGCAAGAUCGUCAUCAUCCGCUGCUGCCACAAAAAUCAUCUACCCUCGAUUGCACGUAACUUAUGUGUGUGUUGUCUGUGUGUGUGCGUGGGUGUGUGGUUAGAGCUUUUUCUUCGACACGAAACGACCACGCCAAACUGCACAACCAUCAGCACAAAUGACGGCGUUGGUGAACUUCUGCAGCACGCUCUAACUGCUCAACCAGCCUGCGCUCACAGAUACACACACUCACACACAACACCAUCGCGCACACUUACCGAAGGACACACCCCGAUGUGUUCCCGCUCAUCCCGGCCACACGCGGGAAGGCACAGGAACCACUGACCCGGCCGGCCACCAACGAUUUUGUGUGAGCGAUGCGACCCGCGGCUCUGACCAAAAACCAAAAUGCGCACAAAAUUUCAACGUGGCUGUUAAGCAGUAAGCAGUUAAACGGAUAAGCAGAAGCAAAGAAUGAAGCAACAACAAACCCCACCCGCUCAAAUAUUAAGCUAAAUUAAAAACGGUGGUAGUAAGCAGUAGAGAAGAAGAAGAGGAAGAAGAAGAAGAACAAGAAGACUAAGAAGAAAGCAAAAACAAUUCUGCAUCUUUGCCCUAACCGAGCGACGGAAGUCAAACCAACCAACAACUCAAAAUAGCUUCCGAUCAAGCCCCAAUCAAAACCAGUUAAACCUGUGUAAUUGUGUGCAAUAUUAAGUUAAAAUCGAAGCAAAGCAGACAUACAAAUACUCACCAACCAGGAACGGCAACAGUAGUAGUAAGGGAAGACCAUUCGAGGCGACGAAUACGAUUUAUGGUUCUUUUUUUUCUAAUACGAUUAAUUUCUAAUACGAUUGAUUAAUGUCUGUACACACUUCAAACAGAUUCUACCGACCGGGCUAUGUUAGCUAAGUUUGUGCCUUAUUGUUUGUUUGAUUCUUCAUCUGUGUGAUAGUUAAACCCCAUCCCUAUUUACUACACACACACACACACACACACAUUAGCACAUUUAGCCUGUUUAGUGAUAGGGUACAGAGGAUUCUCACCUUCCCUAGGACAGUUGGCGCACAUGAUCGUGGAGUGUGUGGAGUGUACAAGUCGCUCGAAGGCUUCGAGCUAUACGCAAGAAAGUACGCCAACUGUUUCAGAAAAUGUGAAAAUUCCUUCAAGUUUAGUAAUUGGUUUUCUGCUUCCUUUCCUUUUCGAAUGAUUUGCUGCUAUCAAGUUGCGACCGAUCAAACGAUCACGCACUGUUGUACCCACGAGAGUGGGAGGGCAGUAAAUCGACCAAAGGAAAGGGUUCACAACAGUUCUACUCUUGUAUUGUAAAGUCAAAUUUCAGCUUCAAGUUAGUUUAAAUUUAGAUAGUGGAAAACGGUUGACAGUAAGCAUAGCUCGCUCGAAACGCUGAGGUCCGGUUUGCUGCGGUGGUCAAUGUUUGUUAGCAAAAUCUAUUCGGGAAACGGUGAUCAGGUGUGUGUGUGUGUGGGGGGCAGUUUAUGCUCGAGCGCGGUGACGUUUAUUUAAGUGUGUUACUUUACAGCGUGUUUUAAGGUACAGCGGAAGUAAAGGCUGUAUAAAAAUAAGGGAGGAGGUGAGAAAACUCCCACAGGAAGUUGGAAGUUCCGACGCUGGAUAGGGAAGGCAGACGAUCCACCUGGAUGGAUAUGUGCGUCCAAUUAAUAGUCCCGACUAACUAGAGCGGUAGUUGUAAAUACAUGUAGUUCUUUAUGUUUUUUUUUUGGUUGAACACUGUUGCUUUUCUUUCUUUCACUUCUUUUCUGUUUUGCUUUCCUUCUUUCAUUCUGUACUCCCUUAGAUGACAUUGAUUAUAAAUUGUUUUCUCAUUUUUUAUCAUUUUUUUAAUUUUCUUGCAUUUCAUCACAUCUCUUCAAACAAAGUAGCACCAAAUUUCCACCCCUCCCACAGCGCGUAGAUAGUGAAAAUUGAACCUGUUUUAACUCCGAAAUAGUAAGAUACUAAAAAUCCAGCAAACUCUAUCAACAGAGCCCGUUCCUGUUUCACCUGUUGUGGCAUCGCCUCUUGUUACGUUAGAAGUCAGUGGUAUGGUAGCGCAAAACCCGUUAAUGCAACUUUGUACUUGAAACUACUACACAAGCGUCCCGUUUUGAAACACGUUUCCUACCGAGAGCGCAAUAUUUAUUAGGAGCUUUGUAAACUCUCAUGUUUAACAUAUAGGAACAUCAUGGAAGACACACACACAGCACAGGUUCCUCGUCUCAAUUUGAGCAGAGAAAUGAAGUCAAAGUGAAGAUAGUAGAAUAGUAGUGGCGGGGGGCGAGAUGGCUGUAAGAUAUCAAUUAGAAAUGCAUUGCGUUCGUUUGCUCAGAUAUUUCUUGUCCAUUUCUAAUACCCAACCAGCGCCACCAGUGGGCGUACAUGUGUGUGUGUGUGUGUAUGUCGGGUUGCAUAGACAUUUGCUCAAAACUAUAGUAUUGUAGUGGAAUUCUGACCCAACCCAAGGCUUCCAGUUGUGUCACCCAGUGUCACCAGAAGCCCCCAAACAAGGUCCACACAACUUCCGGUGUAUACUAUUCCUUCCCAAACGAUAGUCUCCUCCUGCGGGGAGGGAAAAAAAACACAACAACAGUACAGGGUUUUCCAGGUGUGUUCUCAUAGUUGCGGGACACUUCCUUAACUCUUUCUUAUGGAAAGUGUACUUCAUAUGAUGAAAAUUGGACUCCAUGGCAUCCUAUUGGGACAGGCUCCUUGGAAAUUCCUAUUGGAUUUGUCCAACAAGGAUGCUAUAGAGUCGAAUUCCCAUUACAUUAAGUUCAUUUCACGUAAGAAGGAGUCAGCAAAGUGUCCCACAGCUAUGAGAACUCCUGGAACUCCCUGUAACACUAUAAAGAGUGCACACCCGUUGCCAAAACCGAAACCUAACAUGUAAGGCCAAAUAUAUUUUUAUCGCUACAUUUUAAACAGAAAUGUUCCCCCCAUUUGCUCACACGCUCACACAAAGAUAACACGUAAAAACAAAAAAGCACCCAACGACCAGGAAAAAUGGGAGAGAGACCUAUUGUUUCAGGUGGCUAUUUUCUUCUUUCCCAGCCAGCCAAACAAACUAACCAAUCCAUCCAAUUGCAUCCACUCCUGUCUCCACCGUCUUAGCUCUACCGUCUGUCUGUUUCGAAAUGAAAUCGGUCCAUUUCGUCCGUAGAGGGGGGGGGGUACACACUUCAACAAGAGGGCAAGGAGAUUUGUGGAAGAUAUUUUGCACUACAUAAGGAGGGCGGGUGGUGCAAAGCGAUAAGACAUGUAUCGUUUUGUUUUUGCUCGAAACGAUCAUCUGUAGCUACUCUAAUCUAAUUUUAGAUCAUUUUUUCUAGAUACUCUAGGAUUGUGUCCGUCUGUCUGUCUGUCUGUGUGUAGUAAGAUGGUGUGUGUGUGCGCGCUAUCUGUACUACGAUCUUGGGGCAGGCGACGUGUAAGGGAACAACAUUAAGAACCAAAAGGCAAGAAUGGGAGAGGGAAAGCAACAAAGCCAGAAAACUACACAGUAACAAAACAAAACACUGGACACUAGACACAUUUCACUGGGAUUCACGCUCAACUCAUAGACACAGACACCCAAAAAAACGGAACGUAACCACAUUAUGUUCCCAUUAAAAACACGCAAUGUUGUCCAGCGCUCUAAGCAAAACCCCGGCUCCCAUCGUUGAAGCCCAAGAAAACAUAAGUAAAUAAAUCAAACAAACGAAAAACGGAAGCCUAAUGCAACAAACCAUACAAAUUCAAUAUAGAUAAAUUAACAACUUCAUCAAUUUAAUAUAAAUACGUAACGUAAAGCAUUCGAAGCAAAUGGAGUGGGGGAAAGAAGAUAUAAAAUCAGAAAGAACAAAAUUGGCAUGCAAAGGUAGAAACAAAACGGAGGAUGAAAAGAGAGUAAUAAAAAAGAGACCUGUACAUAGAGACGUUUACUAAAUUGCAAGAAACAACAAUCGCAAUUCAAUGAAGAACGUUAAAACAAUGCAAAAAUGUCCAAUUCAUCAUCUGAAACGUAAGUAAGAAAACAAAACAGUGACACGAGCCGAGAAUUCAAUGUUUCAAUGUUUUCAAUCGAAAUUCAUUCAAAUGGUAGUUCAACCAUGAUCAAUCGAUUUUUGGAAACAUUUCUUUCUCUGCAUCAGCAAACAAGAAAGGGGAAUGGCUACUUUAUACAGUGCAGAUCAUGCAUACACUACAAGCACACAGACUCACAGACCACAAACUGCUCAAAGCAGGAUGCGCAAGGAUGCGCGCUCAAUAGCAAACAGAAAGCGGAUGGGAAAAGAGGCGCCCGAUACAGCAGAAUGUAGUGAAGUGAAGGCAGAUGGGAAAACAGACGUUAAUUAUGGGUUUUUUGUACAUACAGAUAUACAGAUAUGACUAUAGCAAAGAGACAAGAUUUAAUCUUAGUUAUAUACAUACAACUUAACGCUUAAGGGAUGGAGACGGAGACACGUGCGGACAGUGCGGUUGAGGUGGGCGAAAUAAACGCCAAGAAGUUGACUUCGAAUAGUUUUGGGGAUAAGGGCAAUUGCAGGCUGGAACGGUCGGCUGGAACUAACACGUUUGGCAGUCGCUAAGGAACGUUAGUGGUAAGAUUGGAACUAUGUACUAUAUUAAAUAAAUAAACAACAAAAAAAGACAACAACAAACACACACAACAA